rnacentral:rRNA from 1 species
ACCCCAAAUCAAGCCUAAUAACUACCAUGAGUAAAAUUACAACAUUUCUACGACCUAAUAAAACAUUUUUCCACUUUAGUAGAGGUGAUCAAAAAACUUCUUAGCGCUUUAUAUCAAGUACCGCAAGGGAAUGAUGAAAUAGCUAUGAAAUAGCCCAA